GCAGAGACAUAAAAACCAAAAAGGACACAAAAAAGCGGUCCGUCAAUAGGCCGCGCGCUCCAUGUCCCGCCCGCGCGCUCCAUGUCCCGCCCGCGCGCCUCCCCGUCUGCCACCAUGCCUCGCCAGCUCCGGGCACCCAUCCCCUCCCCCAUCGCAUCCCCCCAUCGUAGCCGCGCGCGGGAAGGGAGCGGCGUCGGAUUGGGAAGCCGGAUGCCCGCGAAGGGGGCGGGCUCGGCGAGGGCCGCCUCGGGGAUCGUGGAUUCGGCGACGGCUGCUGCCUCCCUUUCCUCGCUCCGCUCCAACGGCAGCGGCUAGCGCCCGAGAUCUAAAGGCAGCCAAUCCCGACGCCGUCCAAGGUUUCGCCGCUGUCCAGGGUUUCGCUGCCGUCCAGGGAACUCCGACCGUGCCGCCGUCCAAGGAAUCGAAGGAUCCAUCGCAACAUCGACGCUAUCGCCGUCAAGGGUUGGGGGCGCCUCUGCUCGCACCGCGCCGCCAUGGGUGCACGACACGACUUGCAGUCCAAGCCGCGGCAAGAAGCUCGCCCGGAUCUAACGACCGGCCUUCUAUGCUCGCGGACCGUCUCCGGUUUACUUUUGUCAGGUUCCUGUAACAAAGUUUGUCAACAAAAAUAGCUUGUGGAUGGGAAGGUCACGGGUGAACAAGUUUGUGCUCACCACCAUCUUGAUGUUGCUGGCCAAGGAAAGAAAGGCUUCGAAAGGUACACAAGGGUAAGGAAUUUUUUUUACUGCUCUGUGUAGUGGAUAUCUAUUGCUGCGUAUUAAGCAAUUUUGUUGAUGUUAUAGAGUACAUUUUGAAAGCAUAGUUUACAAUUUGCAACAUGGUUCAACUAUGAUUGUUUUAUCUCAGCUUCCCAGAGAGGAGCUUUGCCAAUGGUGUUUUCCUUAGGGAGGUACUUUUAAUUUUGGAACCUAUUUUUUUUAUUUUUGCGGCUUGCUGUGUCAAAAUGACCAUACCGAGGAUUUUAGUUUGCAAGUUGUGACAGCUUAUUUGCUUCUUACAUUUUCCUUGUGCAGAAUUUUAGAAAGCAAAGAACUAGGCAACGAGUCAAGCAUACUGAGCUCAAUAGAUUUAAUGUCAGAAGCAACGAAGUUUCAGUGUGGAUUUGAAGCCAGAUCACUUGUGUGGAUAUAACUUGGCUCAAGUGCUCAACCACAUAAAUGGUGGCCAGCUGAAUGUGUGAUCUGCUACCUGCAUGUCCAGGCAUGCGGCCAUCGGCCUCACGGGCUUGUCCGCAUUUUAUAUAUUCCAAUCGGACGUAGCCUGACUUGUCAUUUGCAAGAUUGAAGCUUGGCUUCCAUAUACAUGCUUGUUAGUCUUGAAGCAGCUGUAUAUUGUUUUUGAACUAUUGAGUAGUUGAGAUUUUUCUGGAGGGCACAAUGAUGUCUUAGGCAAUGUUGAUAUGAUGUACAUGCCCAGAUUUUGAUUCUGAUAAAAAAAAAUGUUCUGUUCUUCCUGAUUCUUUUUAUGUAAAUGGCUGCCAGGUGCAUUUUAUUUUCUUUUGACAACCUUUCAAAUUGAUAGAAUCUCGCUUGCUUUGUGGAGCAUUUGUGACACAGAAGACUGAAGGUGAUGUUAAUUUCUAUGUUCCUUAACUGAGUAGGUCAACCCAGGAUUUAAUUUUUCUGUGCAUUGCAUCACAAACAAGAUACUUCAGUGUCAUGAUCAUAAAUCUGUUUACAAACAUUCAACCUGGAGGGAUGCACUGAAUAUCUGUUACUUUGUCUAUAUUUUUCUAUCAACUCUUAGGUUUGGUCAUGGUAAGCAGGAGAUAUUAUUGGACUUAGACCAUGGUGAUAAUAGGAUCUGUCAAUAUUCUGUGGCAAAUUAUUAGUUGUUCUGAAAUGAAAUGUUUACUGAUCCUGGACUGAUUUGUUUAAGUUCAGUAUGGAGAGAUUCUAGGGAGUACGGCGUUAAAUUUAAGGAGUUGCUUAGUUCCCCUUUUUUUACAACAGUUUUAAAGCAUGACCUUCAUAAAUGUUGCUUUGAUGUAUGGAUAGGUGUGUUGUUUUAUACAUGGUUUUCCAUCGUGAGAUUUUAGAAAACUGAGACUUCAAGUUCUCAAGUUAAUUGUUGUCAUUAACUUAAGUCUCAAAUUGCCAUAUUCUUUGGGUAUUUAUGCCAUCUGCUUGUUUUAGCUGCUUUUCUCAUUUAUUCUCUUUCAAGGUGAAGGUAUUGUUCCCAGGAAGUCAGACUACCAAAAUGUGAUUGUUUUUCAGGUAAUUAUUAUAUUUUGCCUGCACCCAUGCCACCUGCGAUUGUUCAUGUGUGGCUGGCUCACAGGGAGAGGGAUGAGUGCGCGUACAAAGAGAUCAUUAUCCAGCUUCCCUUUUGCUCCAUUAAAAAUCACAUGAAGGUGCAAUACAUUGCUUGGUUCUGAAGUCAAAAGGAGACUCUCUCAUGGGCAAGUAAGAAAGCAGGUUGUGCGCAUUCGAGUACAAUUGAGAAAUACACAAACCUGAUCAUUUUUUUUUCAAUUUGAGAUGGUAUGUGCAGUGGGCUUCGAACUUGCAGCAGCUGGUAUUGUAUCUCAACACAGUCAAUAUCCACGGCUCACUCUACAGUCAAUAUUGUAUCUCAACAUUAAGUGAUGAAGCGGACUGCUGGUAGAGUAUAAAAAAGAGUCACUAAAUUUGUGAUACCUGACCUUAGUUGUCUCAGUGUUUGUUCAAUAUUGUAACUCGCUAACUUGUUUACCAUAUGUUUGUGAAAAUGCCUACACAGUUUUACUUGCCAUUGCCAUGGACAUGUGUGUGUCAUCACUGAUAAAGAGAAGGAGAGUCUACAGGGAUGGAAGCCUCAGAGUAGAGAGAUCACAGCUAAUUUGGGAGAGUUCACUGCUCUCUGCCUUACUGUUUUGUGUUUUGCGCAAGAGCUUUUCAUUUGUUUUUUUAGCCUGCCAAAUUUCUAGUGAAGUUGCAAAAUACCAGUGAAAUAUUUCUAUAGGUAACCGCUAUUUUGUUUUAUAGAUUUAUAUCUGAGUUUUUCCCUUUAGGUUUACAUAUGCAAAUGUCUUUAUCACAGUUCCUUGAUUAAGAUAGAAUACAUUAAAAUUUUAUCCUUGUCCAAUAUGUAAUUUGUUUCUGGUAUCAUUGUAUUUAGCUACUGCUUACUUGUUUC